rnacentral:rRNA from 1 species
CUCCUGGGGNUAGCGGUAAAAUGCUGUAAUCCUAGGAGGAGCGCCUGUGGCGAAAGCGCCCGGCUGGAACGGGCUCCGACGGUGAGGGACGAAAGCUAGGGGAGCAAAGCGGAUUAGAUACCCGCGUAGUCCUAGCUGUUAACAAUGCCCGUUUGGUGUAGCGUCUCCCACGUGGAGGCGCUGUGCCGUAGCGUAGGUGUUAAACGGGCCGCCUGGGGAGUACGUCCGCAAGGAUGAAACUUAAGGGAAUUGGCGGGGAAGCACCACAAGCGGUGGGGGCUGCGGUUUAAUUGGAUUCAACGCCAGGAACGUUACCAGCGCUGACAGCAUGAUGAGGGUCACCCUGAAGGGGUUACCUGAAGCGCUGAGAGGUGUUGCAUGGCCAUCGUCAGCUCGUACUGUGAAGCGUCCGGUUAAGUCCGGUAACGAGCAAGACCCACACUCCUAGUUGCUAUCGUGUCCUCCGGGACACGAGCACUCUAGGAGGACCGCCCCCGAUAAGGGGGAGGAAGGUGUGGGCGACGGUAGGUCAGUAUGGCCCGAAUGCGCUGGGCUACACGCGGCCUACAAUGGUCGGGACAGCGGGUUGCGACUCCGAGAGGAGGAGCUAAUCCCAAAACCCGGCCUUAGUUCGGAUCGAGGGCUGAAACUUGCCCUCGUGAAGUCGGAAUCGCGUAGUAAGCGAGAGAUCACCUAUCUCUCGCG